AGUUCCACAACCCCAAGGUUUGUGCAAGGGAGCCUGAAGAGAGGCACCACAACGUCUCCGCAGGAUCUGCCUCCUGUCCCACUUACAGCCCAUCAUUCACCCUCUGAAAUACCAGAGCAGAGGUUGGCUAUUACACACCCAAAAUCUCACCUCCUCCAUUUCAAAAAAGCACUGCAGGCAUCUCCACAAAAAGGGGAAUAUUUUGAGUCAUUAUCCAUUAACAGUUCUGUCUCUUACACCUGGAGCAAGGGACACGGACAAAACCAUCCACGUGAAUCUGUGGGCAAUGAAUUUCUCAGCUGAAACUAAGAAGGAGCUUGUGAGCAUGGCUUCCUUGUUGACAGCAAGGCACAGCCAUGUCUGUUCUGUGGUUGAAAACACAGUCCGGAGAGGGCUUUGGUUCUGGUUGACGUGGUGGUCUACACCAGGAGGAACUCGAGUGAGCAGAGCCGUGUGUUCAUUCAGUUUUCUUGGAGAUGUGGCUUUGAUUCAUACAGAAGAGUUGAAAUAACCCAGCCGCCUGAGAGAGGAGCAGCAAAGCCCGGCAGGUCAGGAGGGACACAGACCCUGCAGGUGAAAAGCCAAUACUCGACCUGUAGUGGGAUUUGCUCAUGGAAAACCCCUGGAAGCUGUUUUUAGCAGCAAGGCAUUAGUCACCCUUGGAAGGCUGCUGGCUGCUCCGUGCCUCUGGCUCGCGCCGUGCCACGCCACACCGCGUGUGAGGAGCGCUUUGGACGCUGCACAGCGUUAACAGCCGCUCCCGCCUUCUGCAGGUGCUGAGUUUGAGUGCACGGCUCCUGCUUAUUUUAGGAAAACAUGAGCUCACGUUCCAGACAGCCCUCUCGCCAGCCAGAAGGCGUGGGCUGUAGUCCUUCCCUCUUCUGGGGGGCCAGGAGGGGUAAGGCUCCACACAGACAAGGAGUGCGUGGCGCGACUUCUGUCGAACAGGUCUGGGGACAUGGGGGGGUCAGGAGACAAGGCAAGGGGGAGAAAGGGCUGAGAGAGCGAUGUCUUCCAUGUCAGAUGGAGAUGAGGCAAAGAGGAGACAGCAGAGCAUUGAAAUGGAGAGAGGUCUGAGGACUGGAAUCUAUUAGAUCAUCAGAAGUGGUGGAUUAAGUCAUGCUGCAUAAAGGCUAAGGCAACUCCGAAAAAAACUUAGGGAAAAUACAGGUGAUGAAGGAAGUAGUCGGUUUAAUCGACUGGAAAUCUGGCUUGCCUGCAGGGAUGCCACCUCAGAGCAAAGACUCUUCCUGGGAAGAAGAAAGGCAGCUGCUGCCUGCUUGAUGGUUACUCAUCCUCUCCAAUCUCCAGUUCCCCCUCCCCGAUCUCCAGCACAGCUGGGCCAGCCAGGGAGGGGACCCUGGCUCAGUGCCCCAAGGGCAGUGACAGAAUUGUCUGGCUAGUGGAGGGGAGGGAGGAAAGCCCCAGUGAGGACAGCACUGUGCUGGCUGUGCAGGCAUGGGGAUGUGCUUUGGCACGAGUUAGCAGAGGCUAAGCCAGGUCCCUUCACCCGGACCAGCCAGCCCUUUCCUUCCUCUGCAGCUGAGACAGGGAUUUGCAGAGAAUAAAGGCUGCUAAUACACAGUGUCAUUGCUUUAUAAGGAAAUGUCUUGAAAUAAUACAGCUUUUGUUGAUGUCUUUAUUUUAUGACAGCCUAAGAGUGUGCGUGGACCUUGUACUGGAUAAACAGUGUUGGGAACACUUUUUCUGGUGGAGGGUAUUAAACAAAUAUGAAAGUGUUAGAAAAGAUACAGCAUUUCGUUUAGACAUGUUGAAACACUGUGAUGUUUUGUUUGGUGAAUUUUCAGGGCCUGGAUACACUUCAUUCAAAAUACCUAGAAAGUAAAACAUGAAAAGUAUAACAGAAAAAAAAGAGUUGA